GUGCUCACUUCGGCAGCAUGUAUACUGAAAUUGGAAAGAUUUACAUGGCCCCUGUGCAAGCAGGACUCAUACAUUCACAGUGCUUCAUACUUCU
rnacentral:snRNA from 1 species